GAAAUGCGAUAAGUACUGUGAAUUGCAGAAUUCAGUGAAUCAUCGAAUCUUUGAACGCACAUUGCGCCCGCCAGCACUCUGGCGGGCAUGCCUGUUCGAGCGUCAUUUCAACCCUCAGAACCCCUUGCGGGAUCUGGCGUUGGGGAUUGGCAUCCAGCCAGCCCCGAAAUCUAGUGGCGGUCCCUCCGCGACCUCCCCUGUGCAGUAGCGAUACCUCGCAGCGGGACAGCGGUCUGACCACGCCGUAAAACCCCCAACUUCUCAAGGUUGACCUCGAAUCAGGUAGGAAUACCCGCUGAACUUAAGC
rnacentral:misc_RNA from 1 species